rnacentral:rRNA from 1 species
GACGAACGCUGGCGGCGUGCCUAAUACAUGCAAGUCGAGCGGACGGAUGGGAGCUUGCUCCCAGACCGUCAGCGGCGGACGGGUGAGUAACACGUGGGCAACCUGCCUGUAAGACUGGGAUAACUCCGGGAAACCGGGGCUAAUACCGGAUAACUCUUUCCCUCACAUGAGGGAAAGCGGAAAGAUGGCAUCUCGCUAUCACUUACAGAUGGGCCCGCGGCGCAUUAGCUAGUUGGUGAGGUAACGGCUCACCAAGGCGACGAUGCGUAGCCGACCUGAGAGGGUGAUCGGCCACACUGGGACUGAGACACGGCCCAGACUCCUACGGGAGGCAGCAGUAGGGAAUCUUCCGCAAUGGACGAAAGUCUGACGGAGCAACGCCGCGUGAGUGAUGAAGGUUUUCGGAUCGUAAAACUCUGUUGUCAGGGAAGAACAAGUACCGGAGUAACUGCCGGUACCUUGACGGUACCUGACCAGAAAGCCACGGCUAGCUACGUG